rnacentral:rRNA from 1 species
UACAGAGGUCUCAAGCGUUGUUCGGAUUCAUUGGGCGUAAAGGGUGCGUAGGCGGCGCGGUAAGUCGGGUGUGGAAUCUCGGGGCUUAACUCCGAAACUGCAUUCGAUACUGCCGUGCUUGAGGACUGGAGAGGAGACUGGAAUUUACGGUGUAGCGGUGAAAUGCGUAGAUAUCGAUAAGGAAGACCAGUGGCGAAGGCGGGUCUCUGGACAGUUCCUGACGCUGAGGCACGAAGGUCAGGGGAGCAAACGGG